AUGGUAUCCAAGAAUCCUCCUCUACAAUCUUCUUAUUCUGAUGACGUCGUCACAUUAAACUGCGAAUAUUUCGGGUUUUGUCCAUACACGAUACACUGGUACCGGCAGCUCCAAGCAAAGCCUCCAGAAUAUCUGUUACAGACGCAUAGCUCUGAAGAUCAGGAUCAGAUAAAUGCUGCCGAAGGACACUUCUUUGGUUCUGUCGAUCGGGAAAAUAAAAUCAGCCUGUCAAAGAUCUUGAAACUGCAAGUGAGCGACUCGGCUUUGUACCAAUGUGCCGGCAGUCGCCGAGAGGCACAGUGA